CUUGAAACGCGCCCGCCCUGAUAACUCGAAGUAUAUAUAAUAUUGAUCCGCAUCAAACAAUCCAGUUAUAAAUACAUUCUUGCUGUUUUCGGUCCUUUGAUUUGUGAGAAAAAGAUGCCGCCCCCACCAGGCCCUCAUCAUCCCCCGCAUCACCCCCACCCCCCAGGCCACCCUGGUCCACCACACGAACCACCACACAAUCCACCGCAUAGACCACCACUACCACCUCACCAUUAAAUAAGCCCAUAUGCCAUUGCCUGUAAACGUUUUGUAACUUUGGUAGCAGAUCUCGGAUCACAAUAAUCCGGGAAACUAUGUUACCGUCUUACUUUCGUCACCAACUUUACUGCUAUUUACGUGUGUUUAUUUCUAUAAUGUUCUUAAGUUUUCAAUAUUAAGAUGUAUUAUCUAAACAUAUGACAAGAUAAUAUAUUCAAGUUGUCCAACAACAAA